rnacentral:rRNA from 1 species
GUGGAUUAGAUACCCGGGUAGUCCACGCCGUAAACGAUGAGUGCUAGGUGUUAGACCCUUUCCGGGGUUUAGUGCCGUAGCUAACGCAUUAAGCACUCCGCCUGGGGAGUACGACCGCAAGGUUGAAACUCAAAGGAAUUGACGGGGGCCCGCACAAGCGGUGGAGCAUGUGGUUUAAUUCGAAGCAACGCGAAGAACCUUACCAGGUCUUGACAUCCCUCUGACCGCUCUAGAGAUAGAGUUUUCCUUCGGGACAGAGGUGACAGGUGGUGCACGGUUGUCGCCAACU